rnacentral:rRNA from 1 species
UACGGGGGGAGCAAUCGUUGUUCGGAUUUACUGGGCGUAAAGGGCGCGUAGGCGGCCUUCUAAGUCGGACGUGAAAUCCCUCGGCUUAACCGAGGAACUGCGUCCGAUACUGAAAGGCUUGAAUCCGGGAGAGGGAUGUGGAAUUCCAGGUGUAGCGGUGAAAUGCGUAGAUAUCUGGAGGAACACCGGUGGCGAAGGCGGCAUCCUGGACCGGCAUUGACGCUGAGGCGCGAAAGCUAGGGGAGCAAACGGG